GAUAAUAUUCCCUCCAUAUUCCUAGCUCCAUGAACUUAUUCUUUUCCAUUCACUCUCUCUUUCUCUCCAUCUUCUGAGGUUCUCAAUAAUGAAAGGUAGAAUAUUCGAUUGCCAACCGCAAGAGACUAGAUAUGCACUAACUGUUGAAGGAGACUGUCAUGGCAUGCCUCUUUCAAGUCCGAGAUAUCAUACUUAUCAGCUGCUCGGAGAAGUGCCAGUCGGUUAUGUGAAAACAUGCUGUGGAAAACAGGUGAUCUUGCAGCAAGAACAGCACGAUGGGCUCCAAUGCUUCCAUCAGAAGCAUUAAUAAGGAUAUCUGUAUGAAUGCCU